UACGUAGGGUGCAAGCGUUAAUCGGAAUUACUGGGCGUAAAGCGCACGUAGGCGGCUUUUCAAGUCGGAUGUGAAAUCCCUCGGCUUAACCAAGGAAGUGCAUCCGAAACUGGAAGGCUUGAGUACUUAAGAGGAUCGCGGAAUUCCCGGUGUAGAGGUGAAAUUCGUAGAUAUCGGGAGGAACACCAGUGGCGAAGGCGGCGAUCUGGGAAGAUACUGACGCUGAGGUGCGAAAGCGUGGGGAGCAAACAGG
rnacentral:rRNA from 1 species